rnacentral:misc_RNA from 1 species
GAUGAAGAACGUAGCGAAAUCCGAUAAGUAGUGUGAAUUGCAGAAUUCAGUGAAUCAUCGAAUCUUUGAACGCACAUUGCGCCCCUUGGUAUUCCAUGGGGCAUGCCUGUUCGAGCGUCAUUUGUACCUUCAAGCUCUGCUUGGUGUUGGGUGUUUGUCUCGCCUCUGCGUGUAGACUCGCCUCAAAAUAAUUGGCAGCCGGCGUAUUGAUUUCGGAGCGCAGUACAUCUCGCGCUUUGCACUCAUAACGACGACGUCCAAAAGUACAUUUUUACACUCUUGACCUCGGAUCAGGUAGGGAUACCCGCUGAACUUAAGCAUAUCAAUAAGCGGAGGA